AAGGGAGUAGACUAACAGGAUUCCCCUAGUAACUGCGAGUGAAGCGGGAAAAGCUCAAAUUUAAAAUCUGGUGGUCUUUGGCCACUCGAGUUGUAAUUUAGAGAAGCGUCUUCCGCGCUGGACCGUGCACAAGUCUCCUGGAAUGGAGCGUCAUAGAGGGUGAGAAUCCCGUCUUUGGCACGGACACGCCAGGGCUUUUGUGAUGCGCUCUCGAAGAGUCGAGUUGUUUGGGAAUGCAGCUCAAAAUGGGUGGUGAACUCCAUCUAAAGCUAAAUAUUGGCGAGAGACCGAUAGCGAACAAGUACCGUGAGGGAAAGAUGAAAAGCACUUUGGAAAGAGAGUGAAACAGUACGUGAAAUUGUUGAAAGGGAAACGCUUGAAGUCAGUCGCGUCGACCGAGACUCAGCCUUGCCUUGGCUUGGUGUACUUCUCGGCUGACGGGUCAGCAUCAAUUUUGCCCCUUGGAUAAUGGCGAGGGAAAUGUGACACCGUUUACGGUGUGUUAUAGUCUUUCGUCGCAUGCAAGGGUCGGGAUUGAGGAACUCAGCACGCGCCUUUGGGCGUCGGGGUUUUUGCCCACGAUACGUGCUUAGGAUGUUGGCGUAAUGGCUUUAAACGACCCGUCUUGAAACACGGACCAAGGAGUCUAACAUGCGUGCGAGUGUUCGGGUGGAAAACCCGUGCGCGUAAUGAAAGUGAAAGUUGGGACCUCCGUCGUGGAGGGCACCGACGCCCGGACCAGACCUUCUGUGACGGCUCUGCGGUAAAGCAUGUAUGUUAGGACCCGAAAGAUGGUGAACUAUGCCUGAAUAGGGUGAAGCCAGAGGAAACUCUGGUGGAGGCUCGUAGCGAUUCUGACGUGCAAAUCGAUCGUCAAAUUUGGGUAUAGGGGCGAAAGACUAAUCGACCUCCUAGCGCA
rnacentral:rRNA from 1 species